rnacentral:rRNA from 1 species
CCUAUGAAUAGUUUAAAUGGCCGCAGUAUUUUGACUGUGCAAAGGUAGCAUAAUCAUUUGCUUCUUAAUUAGGAGCUGGAAUGAAAGAGGUGACGAAAUCUAGACUUUUUUAGUACUUGACUAAUUUGACAUGGAGGUCAAAAGGCCUAAAUAUAUCAAAGGGACGAUAAGACCCUAUAAAACUUUACUUUUUGUUUUAGACGCGCUGGGCAGCUUACUAAAGGAUAAAGUUUUACUGGGGCGGUAUUAAUAAAAACAAUUAAAUAUGGAAUAUAAUAAAUAAAAAUAAAGAACUCUGGUGAGAAAUAGAACAAGUUACUUUAGGGAUAACAGCGUAAUUUUCUCAGAGAGUCCUAAUUGGCGAGAGAGUUUACGACCUCGAUGUUGAAUUGGGAUACCUUGUGUAAGCAAAAAUACACUAAGAUAGUCUGUUCGACUAUUAAAUUCCC